UACGUAGGGUGCAAGCGUUAAUCGGAAUUACUGGGCGUAAAGCGUGCGCAGGCGGUGAUGUAAGACAGGUGUGAAAUCCCCGGGCUUAACCUGGGAACUGCAUUUGUGACUGCAUCGCUGGAGUGCGGCAGAGGGGGAUGGAAUUCCGCGUGUAGCAGUGAAAUGCGUAGAUAUGCGGAGGAACACCGAUGGCGAAGGCAAUCCCCUGGGCCUGCACUGACGCUACUGCACGAAAGC
rnacentral:rRNA from 1 species